rnacentral:rRNA from 1 species
AACGAACGCUGGCGGCAUGCCUAACACAUGCAAGUCGAACGAGACCUUCGGGUCUAGUGGCGCACGGGUGCGUAACGCGUGGGAAUCUGCCCUUGGGUUCGGAAUAACUUCGGGAAACUGAAGCUAAUACCGGAUGAUGACGUAAGUCCAAAGAUUUAUCGCCCAAGGAUGAGCCCGCGUAGGAUUAGCUAGUUGGUGAGGUAAAGGCUCACCAAGGCGACGAUCCUUAGCUGGUCUGAGAGGAUGAUCAGCCACACUGGGACUGAGACACGGCCCAGACUCCUACGGGAGGCAGCAGUGGGGAAUAUUGGACAAUGGGCGAAAGCCUGAUCCAGCAAUGCCGCGUGAGUGAUGAAGGCCUUAGGGUUGUAAAGUUCUUUCGCCGAUGAAGAUAAUGACGGUAGUCGGAGAAGAAGCCCCGGCUAACUUCGUGCCAGCAGCCGGUAAAGUGACUACUG